rnacentral:rRNA from 1 species
UACGUAGGGGGCAAGCGUUGUCCGGAUUUAUUGGGCGUAAAGAGCGUGUAGGCGGCUUUACAGGUCCGUUGUGAAAACUCGAGGCUCAACCUCGAGACGCCGGUGGAAACCGUAAAGCUAGAGUCCGGAAGAGGAGAGUGGAAUUCCACGUGUAGCGGUGAAAUGCGUAGAUAUGUGGAGGAACACCAGUGGCGAAGGCGACUCUCUGGUCUGUAACUGACGCUGAGGCGCGAAAGCGUGGGGAGCAAACAGG